ACAGCGCAGACUACUUGGGCUCCAUCUUGUCAUACAUUGCCAUUGCUUUUCCUAUUUUCGUUGGGAGAUACGAUUAUAUGGAACCAGGAGAACUGGCCCAGCUUAUCAGUACAAAUGCCUUUGUGUCUAUAUAUUUGAUCAACUGUUUCACAAAGUUGAUAGACCAAUCAGUUCAAAUGACUGAUGUAGUAGGAGCAGCUCACAGAAUCGGCCAGCUGUUUGAGGAGCUGGGUCGGCUGAAGGAUGAACAGAAUGAAAACUACAGCUUCUUAGAGGCAACUACCAACC